rnacentral:rRNA from 1 species
UACAGAGGUGGCAAGCGUUGUUCGGAAUUACUGGGCGUAAAGGGCGCGUAGGCGGCCUUCUAAGUCAGACGUGAAAUCCCCCGGCUUAACCUGGGAACUGCGUCUGAUACUGGAGGGCUUGAGUAUGGGAGAGGGAUGUAGAAUUCCAGGUGUAGCGGUGAAAUGCGUAGAUAUCUGGAGGAACACCGGUGGCGAAGGCGGCAUCCUGGACCGAUAUUGACGCUGAUGCGCGAAAGCCAGGGGAGCAAACGGG